rnacentral:rRNA from 1 species
UACGUAGGGUCCGAGCGUUGUCCGGAUUUAUUGGGCGUAAAGAGCUCGUAGGCGGCUCACUAAGUCGGAUGUGAAAACUCGGGGCUCAACCUUCAGAGGUCGACCGAAACCAUCUGGCUAGAGUCCGGGAGAGGAGAGUGGAAUUCCUGGUGUAGCGGUGAAAUGCGCAGAUAUCAGGAAGAACACCCGUGGCGAAGGCGGUUCUCUGGGACGGUACUGACGCUGAGACGCGAAAGCGUGGGGAGCGAACAGG